rnacentral:rRNA from 1 species
AUUGAACGCUGGCGGCAUGCUUUACACAUGCAAGUCGAACGGCAGCACGGGUGCUUGCACCUGGUGGCGAGUGGCGGACGGGUGAGUAAUACAUCGGAACGUAUCCUGAAGUGGGGGAUAACGCAUCGAAAGACGUGCUAAUACCGCAUAUACUCUGAGGAGGAAAGUAGGGGAUCGAAAGACCUUAUGCUUUUGGAGCGGCCGAUGUCUGAUUAGCUAGUUGGUAAGGUAAUGGCUUACCAAGGCAACGAUCAGUAGUUGGUCUGAGAGGACGACCAGCCACACUGGGACUGAGACACGGCCCAGACUCCUACGGGAGGCAGCAGUGGGGAAUUUUGGACAAUGGGCGCAAGCCUGAUCCAGCAAUGCCGCGUGAGUGAAGAAGGCC